UGAAUUUGGCGGGACCAUCCGCUAAGGGAUUUAUGAGGACUCUCUGGCUAUCACUUCCAGUACCGUGAGGGAAAGGUGAAAAGUACCGUGAAUAACGGGGUGAAAUAGAACCUGAAACCGUACGCCUACAAGCGGUCGGAGCCAAGUAAUUUGGUGACGGCGUGCCUUUUGCAUAAUGAGCCUACGAGUUACUGUCACUGGCGAGGUUAACUGUUUUAAGACACGCAGCCGGAGCGAAAGCGAGUCUGAAUAGGGCGCAUAGUCAGUGGGAGUAGACGCGAAACUUUGUGAUCUACCCUUGGUCAGGAUGAAGUUGCGGUAACACGGGAUGGAGGUCCGAACUAGUAAACGUUGAAAAGUUUUUGGAUGAACUGAGGGUAGGGGUGAAAGGCUAAUCAAACUGAGAAAUAGCUCGUACUCCCCGAAAUGCCUUUAGGGGCAGUGUGGAGGUUGAGUUUAAUACAGGUAGAGCUACCAAUAGGACUAGGGGGAGUCACAUCCUACCAAAUCCUGAUGAACUCCGAAUGGUAUUAAAUAUACUCUGCAAUGAGGGCAUGGGUGCUAAGGUCCGUGUCCGAGAGGGAAAGAACCCAGACCUGCAGCUAAGGUCCCAAAAUCUACACUAAGUUGAACUAAGGCGGUUCAGUUGCUUAGACAGCCAGGAUGUUUGCUUGGAAGCAGCAAUUCAUUUAAAGAGUGCGUAACAGCUCACUGGUCGAGCGACAGAGCAUCGAUAAUAAUCGGGCAUCAAGUGUAGUACCGAAGCUCAGGAUUUAGCAGCAAUGCUAAGUGGUAGGGGAGCAUUCUAUUUGCGGCGAAGCAGACUGGUAAUGGUUUGUGGAGCGGAUAGAAAAGCAAAUGUAGGCAUAAGUAACGAUAAGGCAGGCGAGAAACCUGCCCACCGAAAGACUAAGGGUUCCGCGGCAAUGUUAAUCAACCGCGGGUAAGUCGGGACCUAAGCGAUAGCCGAAGGGCGAACGUGAUGGACAAUGGGUUAAUAUUCCCAUACUACCGUAUUGAGCGAUGGGGCGAAGGAGGAGUGACAAUCCCGCGAACUGACGAAAUAGUUCGUUAAAAGGCGUAGGUAUAGGACUAGUAGGAAAAUCCGCUGGUUUUGCUGAAACCCAACAGUACCUGGAGGCUUCGGCCAAAGGGAUAGAGGAUGUAAUCAGACUUCCGAGAAAACCCCCUAAGCAUAUUGAUAUGGUACCCGUACCGGAAACCGACACAGGUAGUCGAGGAGAGGAUCCUAAGGUGCUCGAGUGAGUCAUGGCUAAGGAACUAGGCAAAUUAACCCUGUAACUUCGGGAGAAGGGGUGCCUCGCUUUAGCAAUAAAGAAGGUCGCAGAGAAAUGGUCCAGGCGACUGUUUAACAAAAACACAUGGCUAUGCGAAAUCGAAAGAUGAAGUAUAUGGCCUGACACCUGCCCGGUGCUGGAAGGUUAAGGGGGGAAGUUAGGGGUAACCCGAAGCUUUGAACUGAAGCCCCAGUAAACGGCGGCCGUAACUAUAACGGUCCUAAGGUAGCGAAAUUCCUUGUCGGGUAAGUUCCGACCUGCACGGAAAUGGCGUAACGA
rnacentral:rRNA from 1 species